GAUGAACGCUAGCGGCAGGCUUAAUACAUGCAAGUCGUGGGGCAGCAUGAAGUAGCAAUACUUUGAUGGCGACCGGCAAACGGGUGCGGAACACGUACACAACCUUCCUUUUAGUGGGGAAUAGCCCAGAGAAAUUUGGAUUAAUACCCCGUAACAUAGCGAUGUGGCAUCACAUUGCUAUUAUAGCUUCGGCGCUAGAUGAUGGGUGUGCGUAUGAUUAGAUAGUUGGCGAGGUAACGGCUCACCAAGUCUACGAUCAUUAGCUGAUGUGAGAGCAUGAUCAGCCACACGGGCACUGAGACACGGGCCCGACUCCUACGGGAGGCAGCAGUAAGGAAUAUUGGUCAAUGGACGAAAGUCUGAACCAGCCAUGCCGCGUGAAGGAUUAAGGUCCUCUGGAUUGUAAACUUCUUUUAUAUGGGACGAAAAAAGGUCUUUCUAGAUCACUUGACGGUACCAUAUGAAUAAGCACCGGCUAACUCCGUGCU
rnacentral:rRNA from 1 species